GUGGGGAAUAUUGGACAAUGGGCGAAAGCCUGAUCCAGCCAUGCCGCGUGUGUGAAGAAGGUCUUCGGAUUGUAAAGCACUUUAAGUUGGGAGGAAGGGCAGUAAGUUAAUACCUUGCUGUUUUGACGUUACCAACAGAAUAAGCACCGGCUAACUUCGUGCCAGCAGCCGCGGUAAUACGAAGGGUGCAAGCGUUAAUCGGAAUUACUGGGCGUAAAGCGCGCGUAGGUGGUUUUGUAAGUUGGAGGUGAAAUCCCCGGGCUCAACCUGGGAACUGACUCCAAAACUGCAUGACUAGAGUACGGUAGAGGGUAGUGGAAUUUCCUGUGUAGCGGUGAAAUGCGUAGAUAUAGGAAGGAACACCAGUGGCGAAGGCGACUACCUGGACUGAUACUGACACUGAGGUGCGAAAGCGUGGGGAGCAAACAGGAUUAGAAACCCGAGUAGUCC
rnacentral:rRNA from 1 species